rnacentral:rRNA from 1 species
GAUGAACGCUGGCGGCGUGCCUAAUACAUGCAAGUCGAACGAAACUUCUUUAUCACCGAGUGCUUGCACUCACCGAUAAAGAGUUGAGUGGCGAACGGGUGAGUAACACGUGGGCAACCUGCCCAAAAGAGGGGGAUAACACUUGGAAAUAGGUGCUAAUACCGCAUAACCAUAGUUACCGCAUGGUAACUAUGUAAAAGGUGGCUAUACUACCGCUUUUGGAUGGGCCCGCGGCGCAUUAGCUAGUUGGUAGGGUAAAGGCUUACCAAGGCAAUGAUGCGUAGCCGAAUUGAGAGGUUGAUCGGCCACAUUGGGACUGAGACACGGCCCAAACUCCUACGGGAGGCAGCAGUAGGGAAUCUUCCACAAUGGGCGAAAGCCUGAUGGAGCAACGCCGCGUGGGUGAAGAAGGUCUUCGGAUCGUAAAACCCUGUUGUUAGAGAAGAAAGUGCGUGAGAGUAACUGUUCACGUUUCGACGGUAUCUAACCAGAAAGCCACGGCUAACUACGUG